ACGAAGGAUGCAAGCGUUAUCCGGAUUCACUGGGUUUAAAGGGUGUGCAGGUGGGGUAAUAAGUCAGUGGUGAAAGCCCCCGACUCAAUCGGGGAACUGCCAUAGAUACUGUUAUUCUUGAGUGUGGUUGAGGUGGAUGGAAUAUGACAUGUAGCGGUGAAAUGCUUAGAUAUGUCAUAGAACACCGAUCGCGAAGGCAGUCCGCCAAACCAUUACUGACACUGAAACACGAAAGUGCGGGGAUCAAACAGGA
rnacentral:rRNA from 1 species